rnacentral:lncRNA from 1 species
GUGGUGAUUAAUGAUACAGAGUGGUAAUAAAUAUAUACAGUGUGGUGAUUGAUGAUACAGAGUGGUGAAAAAUGAUACACAGUGGUGAUACAUAUAAAGAGUAGGGUGAUUGAUGAUACAAAGUGGUGAAAGAUAUAUACACUAUGAGGAUUGAUGAAACAGAGUGGUGAUAGAUACAUACAAAGAGGUGAGACUAUAUACAGUGUGGUAAUUGGUGAUACAGAGUGGGGAUAGAUAUCUAGUGCGGUGAUAGAUAUAUACAAGAAGGUGAUUUAUGAUACAGAGUGCUGAUAGAUAUAUACAAUAUGGUGACUGAUGAUACAAAGUGGUGAUACAUAUAUAGUUUGUUGAUUGAUGAUACAGAGUGGUGAUAGAUAUAUACAGUAAGGUGAUUAAUGAUACAGAGUGGUGAUAGAUAUGUAGAGUGUGGUCAUAAAUAUCUAUUCCGCAAAUUUGGUGUCCUACAGAUACAGUCCUACAUAUAUCGCUAGGCUGUAUUUAUAUUCUAUACAGAUAUCAGUCAUGUGGUAUGAUUUUAUAUGUUCUGUUUGUUUUUCAAAUAUCUCUUUAUAGCAAUAAGAAUCCCACCAAUUUUCUGAAAAGAUACACACAUAAACUUCAGUCUUUUCUACCAUGAC